AUCUGGUUGAUCCUGCCAGUAAUAUAUGCUUGCAUCAAAGAUUAAGCCAUGCAUGUCUAAGUAUAGCAACUAUACAGUGAAACUGCGAAUGGCUCAUUAAAUCAGUUAUCGUUUAUUUGAUAGUACAGCUACAUGGAUAACCGUGGUAAUUCUAGAGCUAAUACAUGCUACAAAUCCUUCGGAACGUAUUUAUUAGAUACAAACCAACCUCGCCUUGGUGAUUCAUGAUAACUUGUCGGAGCCUUUUUGGCCGGUUCAUUCAAAUUUCUGCCCUAUCAACUGUCGAUGGUAGGAUAGAGGCCUACCAUGGUAGCAACGGGUAACGGGGAAUUAGGGUUCGAUUCCGAGAGGGAGCCUUAGAAACGGCUACCACAUCCAAGGAAGGCAGCAGGCGCGCAAAUUACCCAAUCCUGACACAGGGAGGUAGUGACAAUAAAUAACGAUACAGGGCCUCUGGUCUUGUAAUCGGAAUGAGAACAAUUUAAACCACUUAUCGAGGAACAAUUGGAGGGCAAGUCUGGUGCCAGCAGCCGCGGUAAUUCCAGCUCCAAUAGCGUAUGUUAAAGUUGUUGCAGUUAAAAAGCUCGUAGUUGAACCUCGCGCGCCGCGGGGGUCCGCCGACAGGCGGCACUGUUGUGGCGCGCUUGCCCGCCCCGCCUUCGGACGGGGGGGCCUUUACUGUGAGAAAAUUAGAGUGUUCAAAGCAGGCUUGUGCCGGAAUACGUUAGCAUGGAAUAAUAGAAUAGGACGAAGGUUCUAUUUUGUUGGUUCUAGGACCGUCGUAAUGAUUAAUAGGGAUGGUCGGGGGCAUCAGUACUCCGUAGUAAGAGGUGAAAUUCUUGGAUUUACGGAAGACUAACUGCUGCGAAAGCGUUUGCCAAGGACAUCUUCACUAAUCAAGAACGAAAGUUAGGGGAUCGAAGACGCUUAGAUACCGUCGUAGUCUUAACCGUAAACUAUGCCGACUCAGAAUCCCGCCGCCGAAUUGUAGCGGCGGGGCGCUGUGUGAGAAAUCAAAGUUUUUAGGUUCUGGGGGAAGUAUGGUCGCAAGGCUGAAACUUAAAGGAAUUGACGGAAGGGCACCACCAGGAGUGGGACUGCGGCUUAAUUUGACUCAACACGGGGAAACUCACCAGGUCCAGACGGAUAUAGGAUUGACACACUAAAGAUGUUUCAUGGAUCAUUCGGGUGGUGGUGCAUGGCCGCUUUUAGUCCGUGAUGUGAGUUGCCUACUUUAUUGUGAUAACGAGCGAGACCUCGGCCACUAGUUGCGUGUGCGCACAUUUGGUGCGCAAGCGCUCUUAGUGGGACUACCUGAGCAAUCGGGGGAAGUGAGGCAACAGCAGGUCUGUGAUGCCCUUAGACGUUCUGGGCCGCACGCGCGCUACACUGACGCAGCCAGCGAGCGCCUGCCUUGAGAGGGGUGGGUAAUCUUCAAACUGCGUCGUGCUGGGGAUAGAGCUUUGCAAUUAUUGCUCUUGAACGAGGAAUUCCUAGUAAGCGCGAGUCAUCAACUUGCGUUGAUUACGUCCCUGCCCUUUGUACACACCGCCCGUCGUUACUACCGAUUGAAUGGCUUAGUGAGGUCUUGGGAGCGUUGGCCUUGUGGGCGACCGCGACGCUGAUGCGAACUUGAUCAAACUUGGUCAUUUAGAGGAAGUACAAGUCGUAACAAGGUUUCCGUAGGUGAACUGCGGA
rnacentral:rRNA from 1 species